UUAUUCUGUUUUCUCUUGAUUAGAUUUUGCAUCGAUUUUGAUGCGUUUUUUUUGCAUUUAAUUUUGGUAAUUAAACUCGUUGACAUAUGUUUCACAUCGACUUGACUGCAGGUACCCUUUAAUUGCCGUCCGUGUGGAUAUUCAACUAGGUCAGAUCCGGCCUUUAAGUAGAUUUAAGUGCAGGCGGACAUCGUUUUGAUGUUACAAGGAUAGUCACAUGAUAAAAGCUUUAUAAACACUAAGGGUCUUUCUUGAUUUGUUUAAUUCUGCAAGAUAAACAUAAAAUAACGACGAAUUCAAAAGGGGACAAUAUUGUUAAUUUUUUCUCCGAAUAUCGAACGUUGUCUUCGAAGAUCUUAGUCAAUCAUUAUCAUGCUUUUGAGGGUCAUAUUAACGUUCACCGUGCUCCUACACCUGCACAAAGAAACUGUAGAAACGACUUCUCCCUCUCAGUUUAUAGACGACAUCAAGGGUUAUAGAAGUGCUUGCAAAUCGAUAGGUUGGGAACCAAAAAAAGAUUGCACCGCAUACGAUGUUGUUGCUUUUCAUGCAAAUCUAAAAUCCCAUCUCACCAAUACACCAAUAAAUACAACAAUUAAGUUUGAAAAUGUUCGGUUGAACAACGGUGAAGGUUAUGACCAAGCCACAGGAAUGUUUACUGCGCCAGAAGAUGGAGUAUAUUCAUUUGCAUGGUCAUUUCUGUCGAAGAAAGGGGGUACAGUGUACAUUGCUGCUGUUGUGGACAAUGUUGAUCACGUAUAUACUUGCAUUCACAAUCAACAAAGUCAGUAUAUUAGUACUUCGGGUAAUCUUCUUUACGAACUAAACAAGGGCACAAGAGUAUGGAUUAGGACUUUGUACUCCCCUGCUACCUUUAUACAUGGCGGAUUUUACACGUACUUUUCAGGAAGCAAAAUAAGUUCUAUUUAAAGGAAGUGUACAUGAAAAAAUAUUUGUUGCUAAAUAAAUUUUAAGAGCCCCUUGAAACUUAGGAAUGAGGUCUGUAACCUUUUUGUUUAUUUCUAUCAUGAUAUUUUAUCAAUUUAACACUCUCAGUGAAAGAUUUAUGGAGGUAAUCCAUGUAUCUGUUCCCUGACGUAGAUACGCCACAUUGCUGCUGAUGACUAGGUCAGGUUUAUACUGAGUUCAUAGAACUGUUUAUACCUGGUUGAUAAAACUUAUUCAGAAAAAUAAUGCAAUAAAUCAAAAUGUGUACUGUCAUGAGAAGACAAGAAUUCAGUAUAUUUUUAUUACGGAACCCUAGGUAACUAAAUACAAUUUGUGCAAAAAAAUGAAUUCAUAAUUUGUUACAAAUGAGACUAUGAGCAGAUGAUUGUAUGGUGAAUAAAUUGAUAUA
rnacentral:sRNA from 1 species